CCUACGGGUGGCAGCAGUAGGGAAUCUUCCACAAUGGGCGAAAGCCUGAUGGAGCAACGCCGCGUGGAUGAAGAAGGUCUUCGGAUCGUAAAACCCUGUUGUUAGAGAAGAAAGUUCGUGAGAGUAACUGUUCACGUUUCGACGGUAUCUAACCAGAAAGCCACGGCUAACUACGUGCCAGCAGCCGCGGUAAUACGUAGGUGGCAAGCGUUAUCCGGAUUUAUUGGGCGUAAAGGGUACGCAGGCGGUCUUUUAAGUCUGAUGUUAAAGCCUUCGGCUUAACCGGGGUAGUGCAUUGGAAACUGGGAGACUUGAGUGCAGAAGAGGAGAGUGGAAUUCCAUGUGUAGCGGUGAAAUGCGUAGAUAUAUGGAAGAACACCAGUGGCGAAGGCGGCUUUCUGGUCUGUAACUGACGCUGAGGUUCGAAAGCGUGGGUAGCAAACAGGAUUAGAUACCCUAGUAGUC
rnacentral:rRNA from 1 species